rnacentral:tRNA from 2 species
GCCCGGGUGGUGGAACGGUAGACACAGAGGACUCAAAAUCCUCCGCCGCGAGGCGUGCGGGUUCGAAUCCCGCCCCGGGCACCA